rnacentral:lncRNA from 1 species
UCAAUGUCAUGCAUCUUAUGCAAACUUUCAACCAUGGCACAAGAAGUGUCCAUGUGCUUAUGUAUCUUCAUAAGCUCCUCACUAAGUGAAGUGAGGAUUAAGCAUUUGGCUUGUAAGUCAUUCUCAUAGUGUCUAACAUAAUUUUGACACUCCUCCUUUGAAGCUAAUUUCGUAGGAGGUACAUGAGGAGGGGAUUGCUUAAGCACAUACAAUAUGUCUUUCACCUUUGAGACAUUCUCAAUGUGGCGAUACCAAGCAAGGAAACGUUGGCCCUUAAGGCCCCUUUUGUCAAGUAUAAUGGUGGGUAUAAUUUUAGGCAUGUCGUUCACUACAUAACAUAACAGAAAUCGUAUUAGAUUGUUUGUUUAAAACUAUUUGAUUGGGUCUUAGAAUCAAAUAGUAGCACCCACUAUUUUUGGAAAAUUCCACAUCCCUCAAUAGAAUUCGAGAGUUAUAUUGAACUCUUAGCGGGUUAUGGGAGACUCACCAUUACCAAGCCCACCUCACGAUGAUACGAUGUUGGCUAGCAAAAAUAAUGAUGAGAGAAUAACGCAUUAUUCAUUUACAACUUUUGUAAUUACCCAUCCGUUUGGCCUCUAGAGAAUGUUGCCUCACGAUGAUACGAUGUUAGCACCAUUGCACUUAGUUUAAGUUAUUCCCACCAUGCUUAGUUCGUGAAGGGGUUCAAGAAUAGCCUCACGAUGAUACGAUGUUGGCUAUCCUCGUUGCCUACACUCACCUCAUCAUAUGUUUAUGGACUCCUCCUGGAUGUAAGCACAUACUUUGUACUUCCCCAUGAUAGGGUGAAGCCGGUGCAUGAGUCACAAACGCUUGGAGCCCACCACGGUGGAAGGCCUACGACGAAGAGAUGUUCAAAAUGUCUCUCGCUUAUCAACUUAAUAUUCGUUUUGAGAGAAUAGUUUUGGGCUACAUCAAAAUCAUUUUAAUCUUAUUAAAAGAACUUGGGCCUAUCACAACUAUUGGUCCA